rnacentral:rRNA from 1 species
UGGUGGAGUGAUUUGUCUGGUUAAUUCCGUUAACGAACGAGACCUCGACCUACUAAAUAGUUCGGGGAAUGUUUUACAUUUACUUCCGCAACUUCUUAGAGGGACUAUCGGUGUUCUAGCCGAUGGAAGUUCGAGGCAAUAACA